rnacentral:rRNA from 1 species
UCGAGCGGAAGGCCCUUCGGGGUACUCGAGCGGCGAACGGGUGAGUAACACGUGAGCAACCUGCCCCAGGCUUUGGGAUAACCCCGGGAAACCGGGGCUAAUACCGAAUAUGACUUGGCCUCGCAUGAGGUUGGGUGGAAAGUUUUUCGGCUUGGGAUGGGCUCGCGGCCUAUCAGCUUGUUGGUGGGGUAAUGGCCUACCAAGGCGACGACGGGUAGCCGGCCUGAGAGGGCGACCGGCCACACUGGGACUGAGACACGGCCCAGACUCCUACGGGAGGCAGCAGUGGGGAAUAUUGCACAAUGGGCGGAAGCCUGAUGCAGCGACGCCGCGUGAGGGAUGACGGCCUUCGGGUUGUAAACCUCUUUCAGCAGGGACGAAGCGUAAGUGACGGUACCUGCAGAAGAAGCACCGGCCAACUACGUGCCAGCAGCCGCGGUAAGACGUAGGGUGCGAGCGUUGUCCGGAUUUAUUGGGCGUAAAGAGCUCGUAGGCGGCUUGUCGCGUCGACUGUGAAAACCCGCAGCUCAACUGCGGGCCUGCAGUCGAUACGGGCAGGCUAGAGUUCGGUAGGGGAGACUGGAAUUCCUGGUGUAGCGGUGAAAUGCGCAGAUAUCAGGAGGAACACCGGUGGCGAAGGCGGGUCUCUGGGCCGAUACUGACGCUGAGGAGCGAAAGCGUGGGGAGCGAACAGGAU